GCCCGGAUGGUCUAGUGGUAAGUCUGCCGAAGCCGCCUUCUUGUAAACACACUCUAAUCCCAUGCAAUAGGUAUGAUUCGCCCUUUGGGAGUUAAUCUUAAAUGGGCGAGGUCCCCGGUUCAAUCCCGGGUUCGGGCC